AUCUUUGCUUUUCACUUUUCUUGAUGAGAUCCCCAGAAUAGGGAAAAAAAUAAUAAUAAUAAUAAUUCAGUUUUGCAUCACAGAACACUUCCAUACUUAUUCUACCAAAAUAGUUGCUCCGGCUGCUACGUAACUGUUCCGAUACUCGUCUUGGUCUGACAUUAUUGUGCAAUACUGCAGUACUGAGGACAGUGCCAAAAUAUGUUCUGUACUAUACAAAAGGGAUGCUGUGUGUGUGAUAUUUUACUUCUUGUCCUGGGUAUUUGUCAUAUCAGAUACAGUAUCAGGGCACAGUAUGUUCCUAUAGGUGGACACACAUCUUCUGCCUCGGGUGGUCAGCAACUAUAAAUACCAUGUACACCACAAACCACGAAAUUUCUCUUAACUGCCUCCACAUUGACUUCAGCAUGUGUAAAACACACUUCUCAGAACAACAUCCUGAAGACUGCAAGCUUUUAUUUUAGGUUACAUACUUUUAACUUGUAAUAGAAGAUGAUUCCACCAGUACUUACCACUAAUAAGGAUAAGAAGACACUGGAUCUAUCGCAGACAAGUGAACUUCUAGUGUUAUCGAUACUAAAGUGCGUAGAAGCACUCUUCUCUUGAGAAACUCAGCACCAAUACCAACCAACUUCUUGACAGCUGGCUACUGUUUGGAGUCAUGCUUGGGAUAGUGAAAUCCAGGUUAACCACUUAUACUGACCAACUUGAAC